UACGGAGGGUGCAAGCGUUAAUCGGAAUUACUGGGCGUAAAGCGCACGCAGGCGGCUGAGUCAGUCGAUUGUGAAAGCCCUGGGCUUAACCUGGGAAUUGCAGUCGAUACUACUCAGCUAGAGUAUGGGAGAGGGUAGUGGAAUUCCCGGUGUAGCGGUGAAAUGCGUAGAUAUCGGGAGGAACAUCAGUGGCGAAGGCGGCUACCUGGCCCAAUACUGACGCUGAGGUGCGAAAGCGUGGGGAGCAAACAGG
rnacentral:rRNA from 1 species